ensembl:lncRNA
CAUCCAACGACGUGUCUGCGGAUGAAAUAAGACGCACAGCCCGCCCGGACAAACUGUAAUCACCGAAAGAGUCAACUUUGCUUGAACUCAACUCUGACAUCUGCUCGGCAUGACACCUCACAGGGAGACGCCAUGUUGUUUAUACGGAGUUUAUUCUCGUCUUCUUCCGGUUGACGUUCAGGCUCUUUCACGCUGCAGCGCCACCUCAGGUCAAAACGUCUUGAAAACAAGUUUUAACAAAGUCCUGGAGAAGUGCCCAAUGCUGGAGGACCUCCUGCUUUACCCCUGGCUCAGAUAAACUCCUCUCUGACACAAACACACACGCAUACUGAAUUCACAUCUUGCCAUACAAAUGUGAUACAGUAACCAACUUUCUUUCUUUCAGAAAAAAGAAAUUGGGAGAUUCAAAAAUUUCCUCACAGUAAUGUUUGCAUCAGUCUAUCAGAUGAAUCCCCUCCAAGUCCAAUAUUUACAUCAGUUAAAGUGAUAAUGCUUGGUGUCUACUUUCAGCCACCGCAGUAGAAUGCCAGGAAUGAAUCUCAUUGAAAUUGUAGUUGCAUUUGCUAUUUAAUUUAAUUGUCAUGGAUGAUACACAGACAACCCAACAGCAAACAGAGGAAAACAAUGGGCUUAAUACACAGAGGGAUAAAUGAGGGAAUAAGACACAGGAUGAGAGCACAGCUGCCAGAAAUCACAAACAACAAGACCAUGGGGAAGGAAAACUGAAAACACUAACAUAGUCUAAGGAGCUUAGAAAGAAAACGUCUGGACUUCUUUAAGUUGCUUGAAGACGUUCAAGCAAAGUUUAAGUUCUUUUCAUCCGAGAAGGUGAAACAUCUUCAAGCAACUUCAAGUCCAGACGCUUUCUUUCCAAACUCCUUAGACUACGAUGACCUAGAUGACUGAGAACCUUCACAGACAUGAAAACACUAACAUAGCACACAAGACUAUCAAAGUAAACAGCAAACAAGAGACUUUUACAAAGACACAGAGUUGACACAGAGACAUGACUGACUGGGGAGAAAUUGGGGAACAUGGAAAGAAGAAUGACUAGACAUGACACGUGGGACACAGGGGCAAGGCAAAGUAACAGAAACCUAAAGCCUAAGAAUAUAACACAAGAAGAAAACAAUAAAGAGAACCAAAAACAUACAUAAGAAUAAUCAAUGAAUAUAAAUGAACAAACACAAAACACUGGGUCACAGACUCAGUACCAUGACAGUUAAAUGUACAAUAAUAAAUACUUUAAUCAGAUGACAAUGUAGCUGACACUGUGUUUAUAGUGUGUGGUCAACCACAAAUCUUCAUACUGUCAUCCAUACAUGAGGUCUUUAUACAAACGAUGAAAGAUAAUGAAAGAAACUGUUUAAUUGAUAUGAAAUGAUUGAAUUAUAUGAAAUAUUAUGGCUUUGUCUGCCAGAGUGUUUUUCUGUAAACUACUUUGAACUACUGGCAGUCAGUGAAGUCACUGAAAGGCAAGAUUCUAUGUUGUGUUGCCGUAGUUUCCAGAGUUUACUUAUAAAGCUCACUUACAGAAUUCAGUUAGAAAAGUCAAGCAUUUGAAGGGCGCACAUUUGAAGGAAUAUUAACUCAAUAUUAACUCAUUACGGUUUACAUUUUCGAGUUUAAAAGUUCUCCGAAAUUACAAUGAAAAAGGAAACAAGAAAAAUUACCACUCCAGCCGAUAAGAAAGAUUCAGGAGAUCAAGGUAAGUAAAAUAAUAAAAUCAAAUCCUGGUAAAAUCCAAAUCCUAGAAAUGUUGACACUGUGUGAAUCAUUUUUAGAGCAAUUGAAUCAUAUGUUUGAUUGAAAUAGCUUUAAUACAAGAUGUCUAAUCAAAGAAAGGUUAGCGGUCUUUUGGUAAAAUAAUGUAAUAAGUUUAUUCUUGGACUCAACAGUAAAAACAGACCAACAAGUGUCAUCAAGAUCUAAGACUUAGUAAACCUAGUAUCAAUUCGCACUGGUCAGUUUUUUUAUCCCAAGAAUAACUUGUGAUAAUUUAAGCAAAAGCAAUUUCAAAUUCUUGCCAAACUGCUUCCAGUCCUGAUGUCGGGGACUCUUUUUCACCACUGUGUUGUUGUCGUUUAUAGAUUGUAAGAGCAGGACUGCUAAAAGAAAGGCCAGUCCUGAAAAGAAGACCCCAAUAAAAAGGAGGAGGGUCGCUGAGCAGCUGGUCCUUCCACCAGCUCAGAUGUGGUCAAAGGAGUGAAGCGCAAGGUUGUGCAAGAUGAAGAGGGCACAACAAAGAAAGCAAAGAAGGCUAAACUUCUCGACCAUAUGAGCGGUGACAAGGAGCAAGCAUCCUCCUUGUUGGACUCUGGUAAAGGUAGGCUAAUUAGUUGAAUAAGGGGGUAGAUUAAGUGUGGUUGCUAGGUUUAAGAUAUUAGUGUUUAGUGUUUGUGUCUAUCAUCCAGUGAGCUGAUGUGCUUUUGGUGUUUUCCACAUCUCCAGACUUGAAUAACAACAGGUGUGCGCAAAAAAUGGCAAAAGAAAGGCCGCGGAGACAACAGAGAGUCACCCAAGAAAAAAAAAAAGGAAUGUGGACCAGGACAAAAAAUCAGUGGCAGACCAAAAACGUAAGUAGCAAGCAGCUUGGGUUUUAUAUUCAGGGGAAGGGCAAAAGGAACAUUUAGGCUACAGAGGAGAGUAAUUUGUGUCACAGCUGUAAUAAAACAAGAUUUGUUGUUUUGUCUGUUCAGGUGAAUUCCAAGCCAGAUAUGUGGAGGAGCACCAGCUCGGAGAAGGAGGCUGCGGAGCAGUGUUUGCUGGCUACCGGAUAGAAGAUCGUUUCCAGUAAGUGUUCAGAUGAUGGUAGUAAGACAGGCAGUAACGCAGAUAAUGGAUAAUAUCGUAAACUGAGACGUCUGCUGUGUUUCCACCUUUCAUUAUGUCAUACUGAGGAAAUGCUCACCAAUGCUCUGUGUCUUCUAGGUUGCCAUCAAACACAUUCCCAAAAAUAAAGUCUACUGCAAAGUGGCGGUAAGCGUCCAACACUUGAAUCAGUUUUACAUUACUGGAUUGAAUGCGGCGUUCCUCAUCAUCCACUUUGUUGUAAUAUUUCAGGAUGAAAGCGGGAAGAAGCUCUCAGUGGAAGUGGCCAUUAUGGUUAAACUUGCAGGUGAAGCAGAAGGGUCAGUGGGAAUAUCUGCACCUGUGUCCUUGCUGGAGUGGUUCGACCUUGGCAAAGAGCUGAUCCUGGUGCUGGAGAGACCUGUCCCGCUGUGGACCUGCAAAAAUACAAAGCAGAAAAUGGAAGAACUUUAACAGAGGACAAGGCCAAGGUAGGUUGACUGGAAGAACCUUAGACUGUACAGCAUUCAAUCAAGGCAGAAAAGCAUGAACUCAUUAUUGUUUUUCAUCUUUUCCAGGUCAUUCUGAAGCAACUUGAUGCUGUAAAGGAACUUGAGGAUAAACACAUCUUUCAUCGGGACAUCAAGGGACAAAACAUUCUGAUUGAGACCGGCUCAGAUGUGCCUCGUGUUCGCAUCAUUGACUUUGGACUGAGCUGCUUUGUUAAACAGCGAUCUCUGUAUCGCAUCUUCUAUGGUAACAUAUUCUGCUCCUGCUUUUCACAGAUGUAACAAUUUGUGUCUUUUGUUUUAGAAGAAAUUGCAAUUGUGUCUGUUUGUUAGGCACUCCUCUUCACAUCCCUCCCGAGUGGUACAUUAGGAGCUGCUACAGGUGUGGACCCACCACGGUGUGGCAAAUGGGAGUGGUGUUGUAUGAAGCGCUCAUGCACGAUACUUUAGUACCGCGAGGUUCCUCACAAAGAAACUGAGCAUCAAAAAGCGUCUGUCCACAGGUAAGAAAACUUCACACUUCCAGAUUCACUGAUGCCUUGGAUCACUAGAACUAUCAUCUUCAUCUUUUGAUCUUUUCUUUCUUUCAAGAAUGCCGGAAUUUCUUGGACGCAUGUUUAGCUAUAGUCCCGGAGAAGCGCCCAACACUGGAGGAGCUCCAGCUUCACCCCUGGCUAAGAUAACACACACAAACACACAAUUCACACCUUAUCAUAUAAGUAUGAUACAUUGUAGUAAUUCCUUUCUUUUUUCUGUUGGACAGGAAUAGAUAGAAUGGGUCAAUCUUAAAAAAUAAAUAAAUAAAAAUUUAGCUUUUUUGGAGUUCUUGUAACCCCCCAGCCAUCCCAGGAAAGGGAUCUCUCUUUGAAUGGGCUUUCCCGAGGUUUCUUCCCAUCGAUCUGGCCCCCUGGGAGUUUUUCCUCGUCUUCAUAGAGAGCUUGGGCUGGGUCAGGAGCUCCAUCAAAACGUCUUUAUUUGAUGACUUUAAAAUAAAGAUGUGUUUUACUUAAAGUAAAAUUUGAUCAAAAUAAAACUUGUUAAUUCAUCUUUGCUGAGGAUUCUCCUUCAUUACUAUUUUGUUUUGUUUUUUUGUUUUGUUUGUUUUACCCAUGGUGCAUUUUGACAAAUAAGAAACUGAAUCAGGUUAAAGUGUGCACAAAGACAGUCACACUGCAAAUGAUCUGAAGACUUGCAUCUGUUGCUCUAACCCCCAACUAGUUUAGACAGAUUUCCUGGUUCUACCAGAGGUUUUUCCUUCAAGAAGGGAGUUUUUCCUUCCCACUGUUGCUGAGUGUUUGCUCAUAGUGGGUUGUAAAAGCAUAAAAGUUAAUAAGAGGCAUUCAUAGCAGAGUUAUCACAGCGGGAACUAUAUAGCUUAAAUGUACAAUUUCUACAGGACGAAUUAUAACUUCAUUAUGUAAAAGCUCCUGUGGAUAAUUCUCCUAUUUGUAACUUUACACAAGAGAAAGUUU